UCUACCGUUUCAACAAACUGU
rnacentral:piRNA from 1 species